AUACAAAAAAAAAAAAAAAAAGAAAAAAAGAAAUGUAUGUGCAUAAUCGGCCUGUCUUGCUUUUGCUUCAACCAAUAUGCUCAGCGCACAAGUUACUAUGAAGUGUGGGACUGACUUGACUUCAGGCUUGGCAAGUACAAAGGAGGCUUCUCUUGACACAGCUAGUGGAGAUGCUGAAAAGAAUAAAGGCCGGAAUGGGAACACUUCCAUUUCUUCCUUUUCAGAGAUUCCAAAGUUAAACCCCGCUAGGCAAUCAAGGUUACCGGGAAGUGUCUGCCGGGUUUUCCCUGAGGCCGAUUUCUUCUGGAAUCCAAACUGUCACCAGCACAUGGAGCCCGGCGGGCUUUUGAAGAGUGGGAUGCAGGCGUUUGGUAUUCUGCGAAGGCAGUGGCGUGUGUUGGGGGCCCAGGCGAGCUGGCGACUCUGGGCUCUGCCAGGCUUUCACUCUCCGCAGCUCGGCCCUGCCUCCCAGCAGGAGCGACCCGGGCUUGGAAAAGGUUAACUAGCACAAACAGCCUUCAUUUGUGCCGAGUGGGAAAGCCCCAUGUGUUGCCCCAGCUUCUCUUUAUGCGGCGUGAGGGGUGGGUUUUCGCUGUUGUUGGGCCCGUUGGCACGAGACCCCAUCUGCUUAUCUCGAGCAAAGUUUGAGGAACAGCUCCCGUCCUAUUCUUAUAUAUGAAGAGCCCUGUCAAUUUUCCCACCGCUGUGCAUCAUGGAUACCAAACAGCCACACACAGAAAAGAGAGGUGCAACUGCUGAGAGAAAGCAUCCUAAGGAAAUCUGAUUAGUGAAGAUCGGAAAAGUCAUCCUUGAGGAGGUGAUGAAGCCAGGUCCUGAAGACUGGGUAGGAGUUAAACUGGUGACUAUAUAUCCAAAAAACUAAAUCCAGGAAACUCAACAGGUAAUGACUCAAUACUAAUCUUUUAAUUGAUUGACUAAGGAAACUAUAUAAAAUUUUGUGUGUGUGUGUGCUUUUCAGGGCUACACCCACGGCAAAUGGAGGCUCCCAGGCUAAGGGGUUGAA